CCUACGGGUGGCACCAGUGGGGAAUAUUGCACAAUGGGCGCAAGCCUGAUGCAGCCAUGCCGCGUGUAUGAAGAAGGCCUUCGGGUUGUGAAGUACUUUCAGCGGGGAGGAAGGUGUUGUGGUUAAUAACCGCAGCAAUUGACGUUACCCGCAGAAGAAGCACCGGCUAACUCCGUGCCAGCAGCCGCGGUAAUACGGAGGGUGCAAGCGUUAAUCGGAAUUACUGGGCGUAAAGCGCACGCAGACGGUCUGUCAAGUCGGAUGGGAAAUCCCCGGGCUCAACCUGGGAACCGCAUUCGAAACUGGCGGGCUAGAGUCUUGUAGAGGGGGGUAGAAUUCUAGGUGUAGCGGUGAAAUGCGUAGAGAUCUGGAGGAAUACCGGUGGCGAAGGCGGCCCCCUGGACAAAGACUGACGCUCAGGUGCGAAAGCGUGGGGAGCAAACAGGAUUAGAUACCCGUGUAGUC
rnacentral:rRNA from 1 species